CCAUCAUUUAUCGAGUUAUUUGUUGUGAUUUCCACAAAUUCACCUAUAAAAUUCAUUUUGAAUGGAAAUGUCAAUUUUGCUGCCAGAAGCACACAAGUUUUUGGUGGUGAUCCUCUAUACUUCAUCGGCGGAAGAAGUAGCAACGGUUUCCGAAAAUUGGAGAGUGGACCAAGAUGUCAUGUUUUAUCCAAACUUCAAGGGACCGAAAUUGGAAAAGGCUGUAAGAAGUCACCAAACUCCCGACUCAAAUUGGCCCAGUUAUCCUUACAUGUUGCUUAAAAUUUGUGAUGACUGGAAAGUUGCCAGAGGGUGGGAAAAAAGAGCGUUGAACCCUGAUUCUGAUUUGCUUACUUCGGAUGUGGAAAAGCCGAAGAAAAGAAGAUCUUUACCGCCUCUUCGGUUCAGCCCUACAAUGGAAAAGAGAUCAAUCACAAACGGCCCUUCAACAUCAACCCAAAAGUGCGCUAUCAGUUCAGAGGAGGAUAGCGACUCGUCUCCCGACGAAACGAUUGAAGACACCUUACCAGCUUUGGAUGAAGAUCUAGAAUCGGAGAAUGAAGUUACCACUUUACGAGAGAGUCCUGUCCAAAGUCAAGGCAAGUCAGCAGCCGAGAAAAAAACCAACGAGAUCAACAUUGCAAAGGCAAACGCUGCCAAGUCCAACCUUUUAAAGACAAACGCUGCCAAGGUAAACGCUACCAAGACAAACGCUGUCAACACGGUUGCUGAAAAGCCUGUCACUGCUAAAGCCAGUGCAAACAAAUCCCGUCAUUUGAACAAUCUCGCGAAAACGGUUUUCUCCAAGAUCUUCAACACGCAGAAGGAUGGUGUCGAAACCAUCAGUCGUUUCAAGCAGCCACUUGGUAUUAAGCCCUCUCUCCCCUCCUUGACAUGAACCACCAGCUUCCGGCUCCAAUGUCGUCUUCAGUUUCCAGUCAUCAGCAUGUCGCAGCUUCUCCUGGCUCCAAGAGGCGUCUUUUUGUCGAUAACAAUACUUCAUCUUCCCCCAAGAAACCCGCGAUUGCUCAAGAAUCCUCCUUGGACAAGAAUGUUUCUCGGCUGACGUUGAAGAAAUCAUGCGAGAUCCUCGAAUGUGUUAAUCGAGUGGAACAGAAAAUUGAUCGACUGUUGGCCUUCCAGGACAACCAACACAUUGAAGACCUCUUCGACGAAGUUAUGAAGUUGCCUGUUGACGACUGUGACAGCUGGCAGAUGCUGGAGGAUCUUUUGAUGGACAAACGCAAUUGCAUCAAACUGGUUUCAAAAUAUUCGACAUUGGGUGGCAGUGACCUUGGUGACUUCGUCCGCCGUAUAUGGGCAGCCCUUGUGACGGACAAAUUUGGCUGCGAGUUGUCGUGGAUAGGAAGAGAUAAGAAGAAAAUAGCCGUAAAAGGAUCAAAUUGCUUCUCUCUCGUUGUUAGAACGGUAAAGGCAAACAAAAAGUAUGCAGAUGUCAACGAUCCUGACAUUGAAAAGGCUUCCCAAGAUUGGAUUUUCAAGUCAAAACGUCGAGUCCAGCGCGCUGAAGACACUGCAAACGUCGUUGAGUCGUGUGUUCCAAGUCUGUCGGAUUCCCCGGUUGCCGGAACCAGUGGAUCCAACAGAUCCGCAGUAUCCAACAUUUAAAACUCGGCUAGUUCGUCCGUCUCCAAUAAAGGCAAUGGGAAGAAGUAAACUAAGAAGAAACAAACUAAGAAGAAACAAAAUAAGAAG